rnacentral:rRNA from 1 species
AUUGAACGCUGGCGGCAGGCCUAACACAUGCAGGUCGAACGGGAACAGGAAGCAGCUUGCUGCUUCGCUGACGAGUGGCGGACGGGUGAGUAAUGUCUGGGAAGCUGCCUGAUGGAGGGGGAUAACUACUGGAAACGGUAGCUAAUACCGCAUAAUGUCGCAAGACCAAAGAGGGGGGCCUUCGGGCCUCUUGCCAUCGGAUGUGCCCAGAUGGGAUUAGCUUGUUGGUGGGGUAACGGCUCACCAAGGCGACGAUCCCUAGCUGGUCUGAGAGGAUGACCAGCCACACUGGAACUGAGACACGGUCCAGACUCCUACGGGAGGCAGCAGUGGGGAAUAUUGCACAAUGGGCGCAAGCCUGAUGCAGCCAUGCCGCGUGUAUGAAGAAGGCCUUCGGGUUGUAAAGUACUUUCAGCGGGGAGGAAGGGAGUAAAGUUAAUACCUUUGCUCAUUGACGUUACCCGCAGAAGAAGCACCGGCUAACUCCGUG